CGCUGGCGGCAGCCUAACAAUGCAAGUCGAACGAAGUAGCAAUACUUAGUGGCAGACGGGUGAGUAACAUGUAGGUAUCUACCCUUUGGCCUGGAAUAACACGAGGAAACUUGUGCUAAUACCGGAUAAGUCUUUACGGAGAAAGCUUUAUGCACCAUUGGAUGAGCCUGCACUUGAUUAGUUUGUUGGUGGGGUAAUGGCCUACCAAGACUGUGAUCAAUAGCUGAUUUGAGAGGAUGAUCAGCCACAUUGGGACUGAGACACGGCCCAAACUCCUACGGGAGGCAGCAGUGGGGAAUCUUGCACAAUGGAGGAAACUCUGAUGCAGCGAUGCCGCGUGAGUGAAGAAGGCCUUUGGGUUGUAAAGCUCUUUCGUCGGGGAAGAAAAUGACUGUACCCGAAUAAGAAGGUCCGGCUAACUUCGUGCCAGCAGCCGCGGUAAUACGAAGGGACCUAGCGUAGUUCGGAAUUACUGGGCUUAAAGAGUUCGUAGGUGGUUGAAAAAGUUAGUGGUGAAAUCCCAGAGCUUAACUCUGGAACUGCCAUUAAAACUUUUCAGCUAGAGUAUGAUAGAGGAAAGCAGAAUUUCUAGUGUAGAGGUGAAAUUCGUAGAUAUUAGAAAGAAUAC
rnacentral:rRNA from 1 species